UACAGAGGUCCCGAGCGUUGUUCGGAUUCACUGGGCGUAAAGGGUGUGUAGGAGGUCAGAUAAGUCAGGUGUGAAAUCCCGCAGCUUAACUGCGGAACUGCAUUCGAUACUGUUUGACUAGAGGUCUGGAGGGGGAAGCGGAAUUCUUGGUGUAGCGGUGAAAUGCGUAGAUAUCAAGAGGAACACCGGUGGCGAAGGCAGCCCCCUGGGCUAGCACUGACGCUCAGGCACGAAAGCGUGGGGAGCAAACAGG
rnacentral:rRNA from 1 species